GAAAGAAAUACAAAGAGAGUGAGCAGACGCUGCUUUGCUGGGAGGUUGCAGUGCUUCCCCCAGGCCAUUUUCCCAUCUAUUUUCCCCUUUUCCCAUCCAUUUUCCCCUUUUCCUACAUGGUGGCAGCUGUCCUGGAGACCUCAGAAGGGAGCUGCUCAGAGUGCCAUGUCGCUGUGUCAGCCCUUCACAAGACUCCCAAAACAUCGAGCCUCAAGGAACUGUGUAAGGAUUUAGCAUCUACUUGGCCUGAGCAAACACCCAGAGCAGUUUUUUAGAGCAGCAGCUCUCUGCAGUUCACUGUGAUGAUUCUGGCCAGGCUCAGUUUCAUUUGCUGCAGGCAGAUUUGCUUUCUCUUGCUCGGGAACAGCAGAGUUAACCAGUAAUGACCUGCCAACUUCCACAAAUCACAGGGCUGUGUAUAUAGGACAAACACAUUCUGAAGGAAUUAAGGGCACAGCUUUGCUUUCUGAUUUCCAGGCUCUUGAACCAGA